rnacentral:rRNA from 1 species
GACGAACGCUGGCGGCGUGCCUAAUACAUGCAAGUAGAACGCUGAAGAGAGGAGCUUACUCUUCUUGGAUGAGUUGCGAACGGGUGAGUAACGCGUAGGUAACCUGCCUUGUAGCGGGGGAUAACUAUUGGAAACGAUAGCUAAUACCGCAUAACAAUGGAUGACACAUGUCAUUUAUUUGAAAGGGGCAAUUGCUCCACUACAAGAUGGACCUGCGUUGUAUUAGCUAGUAGGUGAGGUAAUGGCUCACCUAGGCGACGAUACAUAGCCGACCUGAGAGGGUGAUCGGCCACACUGGGACUGAGACACGGCCCAGACUCCUACGGGAGGCAGCAGUAGGGAAUCUUCGGCAAUGGGGGCAACCCUGACCGAACAACGCCGCGUGAGUGAAGAAGGUUUUCGGAUCGUAAAGCUCUGUUGUAAGUCAAGAACGGGUGUGAGAGUGGAAAGUUCACACUGUGACGGUAGCUUACCAGAAAGAGACGGCUAACUACGUG